UUUAUUUAAUACUAUAUUUUAAUUGGAUAUUUUUUUUUUGUAUAUCUUUAGGUUUCAUAAAUAAUUUAAAAUAUAUUAGCUUUUUGUACUUUGUAAAUAUUUGAUAUGAGUUCAUUCAAACAUAUUAUGGGUAGCUAGAACCGCUUGAUCUAUAUUUGUUCCGCUAUAACCGCUCGAACCACAUUUAUUCUAUUUGAUCCGCUUAAUCCGCUCUGCUAGAUCAGUUUUCCCCAUUAGAAGUCGUAGUGUUUAGAUUACGUACAUUAUAUAACACAUUGUGUUAACACUUUUGAACCACAAACAGUUCAGUAAUAUUUUUAUUAUUAGAAGAUUGUUAAUAUUUGUGAAUGGAAACUAAUGUGUUUUGUCUCAAUUUUACUGACAGACCGCUUUUCUUCCGCUACCCAUUCAAACCCGAUAUAACUCAAUGGUAGGAUGUGAAUAAAUGGUUCAGUGUUAUUGUAGGUUUAUAAGACAAUGGUGAGAUUUGACUAGUAUUCUAUCUAAUGUUUUGAUUCAUAUAAGUACAUUAACAAACAAUGUGCUUUAUUUUUUAAAGAAACAAGCUAUAAUAAAGAGGGAUUUUGGGAUAAUUAUGAUACUGAGCCCAAUGAAAAAGUCUUCAAUUUCAAAAUGGAAUUACUGGAGAAGCAAAUCCAAGAAACAAAAGUGAUCGUGGAGAAGAGGACUUAUUGUACUGAAAAAGUUAUUUCUAGUGCUUAUUUACUCUAUACGCAUCUUAGUGGAUUGACAGAGUGAGCUGGAAAAGUUCAUUCUUUCCGGAGAAAUUCAAGAGAGCUAGCUUCGGUCUUAGCUCACCUGAAAAAAAAACAGAAUUGUCAAGUAAGGGUUGACCGAAGUCAGUUAUGUACCUGAGAAUCAACCAAUAAAAAAUAGAUAAAGAAAAGUGUGAUAUGAGUAGGCAAAACUAAAUAGUGCAUGUAGGGUAAACGAGGACUCUGGUCAGCUUUGAGCUGUCGAGUAAGGAGUGGCGGGCCUUUGGAAACCCGAGAAAAGCAGGGGAGUACUCUAUACAGUGCGUUCUAUUAUGAACAAAACUUGGGUUCACUCCUAAAAGAUGAACCUCUUUAUUCACCUCUCUUUCAAUUACCCAAUAAAAACUUGCCAUGUCAUGUUAUAUUUAAACUAAAUAAUAAAUUAAGAAAACGAAAAAGGAAAUAAAAUCUGGUUAUUCACCCUCAUUAACGUUGACAUCCAUCAUCUCCUAUUUUUUUU
rnacentral:sRNA from 1 species